CUUGACAAGGCCAAAGCCGCUGGCCAUAUUCACGGCAUCGUACCCCAUCUAGUCGGAGGGGGAGGGGUCUCCCUCCUACAAUAUGCGGAUGAUACCAUAAUAAUGGUGGAGGGAUCUGUUCAGGACAUUGCUAACCUGAAGUUCCUCCUCCUGUGCUUCCAACAGAUGUCGGGGCUAACUAUCAACUUCGAUAAGAGCGAAGUGAUGGUUCUUGGGUGUCCCCCGGAGGAAGCACAGGCUAUUGCGGACCGACUGAAUUGUCGGUUGGGUUCUUUCCCCACGACCUACCUGGGGAUCCCCAUUAGUGAUUCGCGCCUAACCGUGGCGGACCUUCGCCCCACGGUGACCCGGAUGCGACAUCGGGUUGAGCCCUGGAAAGGGCGCUGGCUGUCGAAGGCUGCUGGCGUGAUCCUCAUUAACUCCUCGCUUGCCAGCCUUCUUUGGUUCCUCAUGAGCUUCUAUAGCCUUCAUGAGACGCUUCAUCAGGAAAUCGCCAAAUACCAAUCUAGAUUUUUCUGGGCUGGUGAGGGUGACAAG
rnacentral:rRNA from 1 species